GCCCCGGUAAACGGCGGCCGUAACUAUGACGGUCCUAAGGUAGCGAAGUUCCUUGUCGGGUAAGUUCCGACCCGCACGAAAGGCGUAAUGAUUUGGAUACUGUCUCAGAGAGGGGCUCGGUGAAAUAGACUUGUCUGUGAAGAUGCGGACUACCUGCACCUGGACAGAAAGACCCUAUGAAGCUUUACUGUAACUUGAAAUUGGAAUUGGACUUUAUUCGCGCAGUAUAGGUGGGAGGCAUUGAAAGAUUCUUGCGGGAACUCUGGAGCCAUCAGUGAGAUACCAC
rnacentral:rRNA from 1 species